AAAUAUAUUUUUAUUAGGAGAGUAGAAUAUUGUUUUUUCUCAUGGAAACACAUCAUCAAGUAAAGAAUCAAAAAUUGACACAUCAUCAAAAAAUCUAAAUAUUAUAAAAUUUACCAUGUUUAGAAAUUUAACAUGAAACCUGAAUUUCAUAUUCUUCAUUAAGUUCAUUAUUGUACCUUUGAGUUUAACAUUUCUUCAAUUCUAAACUUUAGCAGACUAUUUACUACUAGUGGUAGGCCCGCCCUACAGGCGGGUGAGAUUACAAUAAAAUUAUUUAAUUUUAUAAAACACUUAAAAAUUAAAUGUUUAUUUUGAAGUUGUUUAAUUGUUUUGUAUUGACCAUUGUGUGUGUUGUUGUUUCAUUUUUUACCUUAUACUGUAAAUUAUGGUGGAGCUUGGUUGUUUUGUCACGUAUUGGAGGAAUGCGUGCGUUUGUUUGUGUUUGUCGUGCGGUGAUGAUGUUUUCAGUUGAUAGGUUUAAUGUGGUGUGAUGGGGAGGAAUGUUUAUAUAACUUUGUAUAUGAUUUGGUAUUUAUUGUUUAACAUAGAACUUAUCGAUAUAGGUUUGUGAAAUUUGGCUAUGUGAGAGUAAUUGUGUAUAUUUAAUGCGUAGUUAUGGGUUCUGUUUGGGUAGUUACUGAGUUGCGUGAGAGUUUGUGGGAUGUAGCCGGCUUGUUUAACCAUGGAUGUCUUCCAUCAACACAUGUGUUGUGAUAUUUGUUAGAGAGGAAAAAAUUAGUUAUGAUCUAAGUUGCUUGCUUAGCAAGAUAGCUCACCUUGGGAUGGUUGGGGUUUGAUGGUGAAAGAUCCUUUCAAAGCUCGAGCGUUGAGUCCAGCAUAAGGCACUGUUUUCCUGACAUCACUUUGUCGAGGUUUCUUCUUUGCCAUUUGGUAAUGAUCAGAGGAGUUCCUAUGCAGCAAAGUAGAGAGCCAAGUAUUUAAAAAUAUUAACAUUUAGGAGUUUCAAUCGUUUAGUUGUGAGAGAGUAGGUGUUGAAAAUAUCUUCAAGCCUCUGUUGUUAUUUGAAACAUUUUCUCUUAUUUGAAACUUUUUUUGUAUGGCGAUUAAUAGAGGGUGUAUUUAUGGAAAAUAAUGACAGACCGUUUUCUUUGUAUAUAGUACUUGAACAAAACACCUACAAACAAUUGUUUUAAUGUAUGAAUAUAUAAUAGUGAUGGAAUAACUUUGUUAGAGGAUUAAAGUAUUUAUUAACCGGCUCUAUGUGGAAAUUUUUUUGUACAUAGCUAUGAAGUGAGUGAUAUCAUUAAAAAAAAUAUUAAAACAGUUUUUCGCGCUAACUAAGAUGAAAGUUAUUUAAAAGCUACUGGAAUUUCUAUUUAGCAUAUACAACUCUUCAGCGUUGUGGAAAUAUAUUGUUUUGCACAUAAAUUUCUUCUGAGAACUACAUAAAACCACUUCUGUAAAAGGUGAUUUUGUUGUAGUGAUAUCACUCAAUGUAAAAGUGUUAGUUAUCUACUACCGUGUCAUAUUCUGAACUUAUAAAUUCAGUUAAAAUUGUUUUCACAUUGGGUCUUUUGAUUUUAGUAUAACAGAUUAAUCAUUUAGCAUAUAAACGGCCAUGCCAAAUUGUGAAAACAAAAUUGUGAACAAUAAUAUAGAAAUUUCAUUCCAUAUAAUUCGGUUUGGCAGAGUUUUACUCAUAAAUGAACUUAUCCUUAUGAUUUUAUCUAUUAAGAAGCUUAUCUCAUUGAGUGGGCCAGAAAAGACAGAGAUGUGGGAUGUCCAUAACUUUCAGUAGCCAAAAUCUUUCUUAUUUUCAUCAACCUCAAACUCUCUUGUUUUGUUGCUACACGUUUAGUUUUGAAAUUUGCAUUUGAAACCAUUCCAAGUGAUUCCAUGACAAAACCACAUACAUGGUUACCCUAAACUCUUAAGGUAACAAAACCAGAAACGAAAAAAACAGAGUUAUUGCAUCAGCAACAGCUAGAAAGGUCAAAGCAUUUGCAGAGGAGACCAAACAGUGGACUAAAUCCAGCUUUUAAAGUUGCAGCAAAUCUCUAUGUUCGAUGGCAAUUGAAAGGGGAGGAAAUUAUAAUUGUUAAUUUCAGUAGCAUUACAUGACCAUACUUCUUCAACAGUUUCCAUAGAGACUGAUGUGGUAAUUCUCCUCGCUGGUCCUGAUGAUCAGUAAGCCAUGAGGAGAAAGUGGACACCGGCAACCUACGGCGGUGAUAAAGAUAGAGAGAGGAAGAGAAGCUUUAGAUGCCAAAUCAAAUUCAUACUUGUAACACAUUUCAUUUUUGUAACUUCAUAAGCGAUGAUGAAAGAACACUCUUGUCUUUUAUGAGCAAACCUUAUCACUGAAAUGACAUUUAGUUUACUGUUUCA